AUGCAAGUCGAACGGGAUCCAUCAGGCUUUGCUUGGUGGUGAGAGUGGCGAACGGGUGAGUAAUGCGUGACCGACCUGCCCCAUACACCGGAAUAGCUCCUGGAAACGGGUGGUAAUGCCGGAUGCUCCAGUUGAUCGCAUGGUCUUCUGGGAAAGCUUUCGCGGUAUGGGAUGGGGUCGCGUCCUAUCAGCUUGACGGCGGGGUAACGGCCCACCGUGGCUUCAACGGGUAGCCGGCCUGAGAGGGCGACCGGCCACAUUGGGACUGAGAUACGGCCCAAACUCCUACGGGAGGCAGCAGUGGGGAAUAUUGCACAAUGGGCGCAAGCCUGAUGCAGCGACGCCGCGUGAGGGAUGGAGGCCUUCGGGUUGUAAACCUCUUUUAUCGGGGAGCAAGCGAGAGUGAGUUUACCCGUUGAAUAAGCACCGGCUAACUACGUGCCAGCAGCCGCGGUAAUACGUAGGGUGCAAGCGUUAUCCGGAAUUAUUGGGGCGUAAAGGGUUCGUAGGCGGUUCGUCGCGUCCCGGUGUGAAAGUCCAUCGCUUAACGGUGGAUCCGCGCCGGGUACGGUCGGCCUUGAGUGCGGUAGGGGAAAACUGGAAUCCCCGGUGUAACGGGUGGAAUGUG
rnacentral:rRNA from 1 species